UACGUAGGGUGCGAGCGUUGUCCGGAAUUACUGGGCGUAAAGAGCUCGUAGGUGGUUUGUCGCGUUGUUCGUGAAAUCUCACGGCUUAACUGUGAGCGUGCGGGCGAUACGGGCAGACUGGAGUACUGCAGGGGAGACUGGAAUUCCUGGUGUAGCGGUGAAAUGCGCAGAUAUCAGGAAGAACACCCGUGGCGAAGGCGGCUCUCUGGGACGGUACUGACGCUGAGACGCGAAAGCGUGGGGAGCGAACAGG
rnacentral:rRNA from 1 species